GCCCGGUUAGCUCAAUCGGUAGAGCGUGAGACUCUUAAUCUCAAGGUUGCGGGUGAGUUACACAUUCAAUUCUGGAACGCGCC
rnacentral:tRNA from 1 species